AUAUCACGUUGAAUUACCGAUUCUCGUACGAUCACCGAAGUUAAGCAACAUCGAUCCUGGUCAGUACUGUUGGGUGACCGGUUGGGAAUACCAGGUACUGCAAG